rnacentral:lncRNA from 1 species
AGAAAGAUGCUGAAUUAGUGGGAAAAUCUCAUUAAUUUACCAAAGGCAGCUUUGCUUGGCCCAGAGAGCCAGUAUCUUCCAGUAGCAGGCAGACGGAGCCCUGUGCAGAUCCAGUUGCACAGAGCCACCCUUUCCACCCUGCCAGGCCUGGCCAACGAUGGGAUGACCUUUCAAAGAGGGACCUUUGCCCAGCACAUGGUAAAGAAGGCUUAAAAAGAAAAGCUCCCUAGACUCGCCUGAAUAGCAUCGCCAAACAUUUCCCAGGAUGAUUUCACAGGGUGAAAUUUAGCAUCUCAGCUCACUGCAACCUCUGCCUUCCAAGCCUACUUCAAUCCCAGACA